rnacentral:ncRNA from 1 species
AAUGGGUUGCCACCGGGUAACACAUUUCAUGAUACUUAACUUUAUUCCUUUAGGUCUUAGUAGGGAUAAAUGUUAGGUAUUUUUUUAUG